rnacentral:rRNA from 1 species
CAGUCGCCGCGGGAAUACAGAGGAUGCAAGCGUUAUCCGGAAUGAUUGGGCGUAAAGCGUCUGUAGGUGGCUUUUCAAGUCCGCCGUCAAAUCCCAGGGCUCAACCCUGGACAGGCGGUGGAAACUACCAAGCUAGAGUACGGUAGGGGCAGAGGGAAUUUCCGGUGGAGCGGUGAAAUGCGUUGAGAUCGAAAAGAACACCAACGACGAAAGCACUCUGCUGGGUCGACACUGACACUGAGAGACGAAAGCUAGGGGAGCAAAUGGGAUUAGAUACCCCAGUAGUCCCUGUCUCUUAUAC